GAUGAAGAACGCAGCGAAAUGCGAUAAGUAAUGUGAAUUGCAGAAUUCAGUGAAUCAUCGAAUCUUUGAACGCACAUUGCGCCCGCUAGUAUUCUGGCGGGCAUGCCUGUCCGAGCGUCAUUUCAACCCUCAAGCCCCCGGGCUUGGUGUUGGGGAUCGGCGAGCCUCCGUGCCCGCCGUCCCCUAAAUCUAGUGGCGGUCUCGCUGUAGCUUCCUCUGCGUAGUAGCACACCUCGCACUGGGAAACAGCGCGGCCACGCCGUUAAACCCCCAACUUCUGAACGUUUGACCUCGGAUCAGGUAGGAAUACCCGCUGAACUUAAGCAUAUCAAUAAGCGGAGGA
rnacentral:misc_RNA from 1 species